rfam:Paenibacillus sp. Y412MC10, complete genome.
UUUGGUGGCGAUGGCGGAAGGGUUCCACGCGUUCCCAUACCGAACACGACCGUUAAGCCUUCCAGCGCCGAUGGUACUUGGACCGAAGGGUCCCGGGAGAGUAGGACGUCGCCAAGC